GAAAAGAAACCAACAGGGAUUGCCUUAGUAGCGGCGAGUGAAGCGGCAAAAGCUCAAAUUUGAAAUCUGGCUCUUUCAGAGUCCGAGUUGUAAUUUGAAGAAGGUAUCUUUGGGUCUGGCUCUUGUCUAUGUUUCUUGGAACAGAACGUCACAGAGGGUGAGAAUCCCGUGCGAUGAGAUGAUCCAGGCCUAUGUAAAGUUCCUUCGAAGAGUCGAGUUGUUUGGGAAUGCAGCUCUAAGUGGGUGGUAAAUUCCAUCUAAAGCUAAAUAUUGGCGAGAGACCGAUAGCGAACAAGUACAGUGAUGGAAAGAUGAAAAGAACUUUGAAAAGAGAGUGAAAAAGUACGUGAAAUUGUUGAAAGGGAAGGGCUUGAGAUCAGACUUGGUAUUUUGUAUGUUACUUCUUCGGGGGUGGCCUCUACAGUUUAUCGGGCCAGCAUCAGUUUGGGCGGUAGGAGAAUUGCGUUGGAAUGUGGCACGGCUUCGGUUGUGUGUUAUAGCCUUCGUCGAUACUGCCAGCCUAGACUGAGGACU
rnacentral:rRNA from 1 species